rnacentral:rRNA from 1 species
UACGUAGGGUGCAAGCGUUGUCCGGAAUUAUUGGGCGUAAAGAGCUCGUAGGCGGUCCGUCACGUCGGAUGUGAAAUUCCAGGGCUCAACCCUGGACCUGCAUUCGAUACGGGCGGACUAGAGUUCGGUAGGGGAGACUGGAAUUCCUGGUGUAGCGGUGAAAUGCGCAGAUAUCAGGAGGAACACCGGUGGCGAAGGCGGGUCUCUGGGCAACAACUGACGCUGAGGAGCGAAAGCGUGGGGAGCGAACAGG